UACGUAGGGUGCAAGCGUUGUCCGGAAUUAUUGGGCGUAAAGAGCUCGUAGGCGGUUUGUCGCGUCUGCUGUGAAAACCCGAGGCUCAACCUCGGGCCUGCAGUGGGUACGGGCAGACUAGAGUGCGGUAGGGGAGAUUGGAAUUCCUGGUGUAGCGGUGGAAUGCGCAGAUAUCAGGAGGAACACCCAAUGGCGAAGGCAGAUCUCUGGGCCGUAACUGACGCUGAGGAGCGAAAGCAUGGGGAGCGAACAGG
rnacentral:rRNA from 1 species